AUUGCAAAAAAAGAUAUUCAAGGGUAUGUCUUAUAAACUACAUGUUACAUCAUAAUCUACAUUGUAUCUCUAACAAAUAUAAUAAAUCCGUCAAGGUUGGGAGGAGGUUGUGUUGGUGGUGGUGGAAAAGAAGCUUGUUCAUCACCACUUUCGGGCGAAGCCAAAUCCUCCGCAAGUUCCGCUAUCAUUUCUUCAUAAGCU
rnacentral:lncRNA from 1 species